GAACUGAAGAGUUUGAUCAUGGCUCAGAUUGAACGCUGGCGGCAGGCCUAACACAUGCAAGUCGAGCGGAUGAAAGGAGCUUGCUCCUGGAUUCAGCGGCGGACGGGUGAGUAAUGCCUAGGAAUCUGCCUGGUAGUGGGGGAUAACGUCCGGAAACGGGCGCUAAUACCGCAUACGUCCUGAGGGAGAAAGUGGGGGAUCUUCGGACCUCACGCUAUCAGAU
rnacentral:rRNA from 1 species